GAUGAACGCUGGCGGCGUGCCUAAUACAUGCAAGUCGAGCGAACGGACGAGAAGCUUGCUUCUCUGAUGUUAGCGGCGGACGGGUGAGUAACACGUGGAUAACCUACCUAUAAGACUGGGAUAACUUCGGGAAACCGGAGCUAAUACCGGAUAAUAUUUUGAACCGCAUGGUUCAAAAGUGAAAGACGGUCUUGCUGUCACUUAUAGAUGGAUCCGCGCUGCAUUAGCUAGUUGGUAAGGUAACGGCUUACCAAGGCAACGAUGCAUAGCCGACCUGAGAGGGUGAUCGGCCACACUGGAGCUGAGACACGGUCCAGACUCCUACGGGAGGCAGCAGUAGGGAAUCUUCCGCAAUGGGCGAAAGCCUGACGGAGCAACGCCGCGUGAGUGAUGACGGUCUUCGGAUCGUAAAACUCUGUUAUUAGGGAAGAACAUAUGUGUAAGUAACUGUGCACAUCUUGACGGUACCUAAUCAGAAAGCCACGGCUAACUACGUG
rnacentral:rRNA from 1 species